GAGAGAGGGAACAAGAACAAGUUUUACUUUAAGGAACUGAUCCAUGCUAUCCUGGAGGCUGGCAAGUCCACAGACCUCAAUGUGAACUUGCAGGCAGGAGACUCACAGGCCUAAUCUUGCAGCUCAAGUCAAAGACUGUUGUUGGCAUGAUCAGAUUUCCUCAGGGAGAGAGGAAGUCAGAGGUGAAGAUGGCCACACCCACAAAGAAAAUGACUUCUGGGAGUGUCAGACUAACAAAAAGACCUGGAAUCAUUUUAACCAGGACCGGAUAAGUCAGCUGGACUGGACAAGCACACCCAACAAAGUGGCUGUGUACAGUUCCAGGCCUGGAAGUACGAAUUUAUGGAUGGGAGCAGACACACCCAUGUGGAUGUGGUCAGAGGGCCUUGUUUGAUUGGCUGAAGAAAUGACACUUUUAGGGCUUAUCUAUUUGGAUGUCUCUGCUCUGAGACAGGGUGGAAAGGACAGAUCUGUGGUAUGUAUCCUUCCUGUGAAGCAAAGAAAUCAUGGGAGAGUCUUUGUCAGGAAAAAGACAGAUGGGGUCCUUUGAGAUGGCUCAGUGGAUAAAGGCACCUGCCUACAAGCCUGAGGACCUGUUUCCAUCCUUGAACCCACGUGGUAGAAGGA